AUUACUUUGGCAGGGUUGCAUUAAAUUUAGGAUUUAAUUAUAUAGAUUCUUAUCUAUAAGUAGUG
rnacentral:tRNA from 1 species